UAGAAAUAACUGAAUCUAUAAAUAUUAUAAAUAAUACAACCAAGCAUUUGUAAGGGAGUUUCUCGACUCCACCUAACCUAUGAAAAAUAAAUUACAAAGACAGAAAGAAAAGAACCUUAUUGGCCUUGGAGUUCCUUGGCCUCAUUGCCUCCUCCUUAGAGUUCUCCUACUCUAGAGUGAAUAUUGAAAAAGUCUCAAUAUUUCUGAAUGAAUAAUUAUGAAGGAGGAAGGCUCUAUUUAUAGUUUUUCAGCUGGGUUUGGAUUUUUUCUGCGCAUCCAUCGCACCCAUCGUGGCCACGAUGGCAUGUAUUUUCGCCUCAUCGUGGCCACGAUGGGUCCUAUCGUGGUGCGAUGAAAGAUUUCUUCAGGAUUUUCUGCGUGUUUUUCAAGUCAUCAUUGUGCCACGAUGGUAAAGAUUUUCAGGAGAUUUUCUUCAAUUUUAACCGUCUUCUCAUCGCGCCACGUGGAACCUCAUCGUGGGUACGAUGGUUGCGCUGCUUUAUUACAUUUUUGCCUUUUUUUGCUGCUUUUUCCACUUUUUUUGCUUCUGGUCCUUGUAACUUCACGUUUCCCGAUAUUUGCUUGCUUUUGGGAUUCAAUUACUAUAAAAACUAUACUAAUCUAUUACUAAAAACAUCAUAUAAUUGGCUGUCAUCACCAUACUCCAAAAAAUCUUAGGCCAUACCAUCUGAACAUAUUUUUAUUUGAGAAUGGAACCUAGAGUCAAAAUAGAUUGACAUGUAUUUAUUCAAAAUAUAAUUGAGUUUAUAAUUAUUUUAUAUUUGUAGAAUUUCUAUAUAGUCGCAAGGAUGAAGAUGAAAGAAAAAAAUUUCCUAAUAGCGUAGAACGGGAAGAGAAUGAAAACUCUUAAUCUCGCUCUAUCAUGUAACGUCAUUAAACAUAUAUCAUGCAAAAAUUAUCUCAAUUUAAUUGUACAAUUUUAAAUCAAAUUUCUCAACUAGUAUUUUAAAACAAACAGAAAAUAAUAGGGUGCAUUGCNNNNNNNNNNNNNNNNNNNNNNNNNNNNNNNNNNNNNNNNNNNNNNNNNNNNNNNNNNNNNNNNNNNNNNNNNCGGCUAACAUACUAGUAUAUAUACAUUCACAAGCCACUAUAAUUGUGUAUUGUAUCCCUCCCGCGACAUGCACAAACCCCAAAAUCGGGCCAUACAAGUUCGGGUGCUGAAACCAAAAACGCGCAAACUGCAAUAUCGCCAAUUUCAGUACACACAUAAUAUCGACAAUCCUCAUUAUUUCGGCACACAACUAAUAAGAAUUAAGGAACAUUGUCAAAACGGGGGUGAAACAAUUUGAAUAAGAAAAUUAGGAUCUUUANNNNNNNNNNNNNNCACACAAAUAUAUAUAUAUAUAUAUAUAUAUAUAUAUAUAUAUAUAUAUAUAUAUAUAUAUAUAUAUAUAUAUAUAUAUAUAUCCAAUUUAGAAGAAAUCAUUUAAAAUUCUAAUAUAUUUUAAUAAAUAUUAGGGUUAUUUUUUAACCAUAAAAUAUUCUCAAAUUUCAUUUUUAGUCUAUAUUAAAAAUUUCAGCAAGUUUUGAUCUCUCAAAUAUUUUCUUUCAUAACGUUUGAUUCCUAUUUUUAAUUCAACUCAGGUAUACUUUCACAUUUUUGAAUUAAUUUUUGUAUUUAUGUUUAUAAUAAUUUAAAAAGCUCUCCCACAAUAAUAUGUGAUUUUUUAAAUUAGAUGAAUUAAAUAUACUUUUUUUAUGCGCCAAAAACUUAGAAAUUCAUAUCUAAUUCAUCCAUUGUGUUGUAAAAAACUAAAUUUUUGAGGGAGUGAUUUUUAUAUUAUUAUAAAUAUUAAAACUCAUUAAAAUUAUGAAAGAUUGAUCAGGAAAUUAAUUUUUGUCAGAGAGGUUUAUAUAAUGUACUAAACAUGAAUGCAAAAAAUAAUAAAAAUUUCAAGUAAUAUAGAUGAGUUGACAAGCCACUAUAGGUUUGGUGUAGUUGUGGUGAGGGUUUGAGUAGAAUGCGCAUGAGGUCCUAAGUUUGUUUUUUACUAACUCCAUUGUAAAACAAAAAAAAAAAGCAUAUUGAUGAGUUGACUUAAAAAAGCAAGGACUGCAAAUCGUACGGAAGAUAUUUGAGGAUCAAAACUUGCUGAAAUAUUUCAUAGGAAUUAAAAAUGAAAUUUGACACAUCUAUAAGGACAAAAAAGUUAUUUAACCCUAUAAAUAAAUUAAUAUAAAAAUAUGAUAUGAUAUUAAAUUUUGUAUAGAAAUACUAGUAUCAAACUAAAUUUUGAAAUAGUAGAGUUCACUGAAUUUAAAAACGCUAAUAAAAAUUACUUACCGUGGCUAUUUGUUACAUAAAUAAAUAUGAAAAAAAAGAUAAUCAUAGCAUAAAACAUAUAAACAUUAACCAUAUUUUUUCUUUUAUGAAUCUAGAAAUAGGAAUCAUUUGUUAGCUUUAUAGUGUGAAAAAAAAAAU
rnacentral:lncRNA from 1 species